GACGAACGCUGGCGGCGUGCUAAUACAUGCAAGUCGAACGCUUCUUUCCUCCCGAGUGCUUGCACUCAAUUGGAAAGAGGAGUGGCGGACGGGUGAGUAACACGUGGGUAACCUACCCAUCAGAGGGGGAUAACACUUGGAAACAGGUGCUAAUACCGCAUAACAGUUUAUGCCGCAUGGCAUAAGAGUGAAAGGCGCUUUCGGGUGUCGCUGAUGGAUGGACCCGCGGUGCAUUAGCUAGUUGGUGAGGUAACGGCUCACCAAGGCCACGAUGCAUAGCCGACCUGAGAGGGUGAUCGGCCACACUGGGACUGAGACACGGCCCAGACUCCUACGGGAGGCAGCAGUAGGGAAUCUUCGGCAAUGGACGAAAGUCUGACCGAGCAACGCCGCGUGAGUGAAGAAGGUUUUCGGAUCGUAAAACUCUGUUGUUAGAGAAGAACAAGGACGUUAGUAACUGAACGUCCCCUGACGGUAUCUAACCAGAAAGCCACGGCUAACUACGUGCCAGCAGCCGCGGUAAUACGUAGGUGGCAAGCGUUGUCCGGAUUUAUUGGGCGUAAAGCGAGCGCAGGCGGUUUCUUAAGUCUGAUGUGAAAGCCCCCGGCUCAACCGGGGAGGGUCAUUGGAAACUGGGAGACUUGAGUGCAGAAGAGGAGAGUGGAAUUCCAUGUGUAGCGGUGAAAUGCGUAGAUAUAUGGAGGAACACCAGUGGCGAAGGCGGCUCUCUGGUCUGUAACUGACGCUGAGGCUCGAAAGCGUGGGGAGCAAACAGG
rnacentral:rRNA from 1 species